rnacentral:rRNA from 1 species
GAUGAACGCUGGCGGCGUGCCUAAUACAUGCAAGUCGAGCGAACAGAUGAGGAGCUUGCUCCUCUGACGUUAGCGGCGGACGGGUGAGUAACACGUGGAUAACCUACCUAUAAGACUGGGAUAACUUCGGGAAACCGGAGCUAAUACCGGAUAAUAUAUUGAACCGCAUGGUUCAAUAGUGAAAGACGGUUUUGCUGUCACUUAUAGAUGGAUCCGCGCCGCAUUAGCUAGUUGGUAAGGUAACGGCUUACCAAGGCAACGGUGCGUAGCCGACCUGAGAGGGUGAUCGGCCACACUGGAACUGAGACACGGUCCAGACUCCUACGGGAGGCAGCAGUAGGGAAUCUUCCGCAAUGGGCGAAAGCCUGACGGAGCAACGCCGCGUGAGUGAGGAAGGUCUUCGGAUCGUAAAACUCUGUUAUUAGGGAAGAACAAAUGUGUAAGUAACUAUGCACGUCUUGACGGUACCUAAUCAGAAAGCCACGGCUAACUACGUG